UACGUAGGUGGCAAGCGUUGUCCGGAUUUACUGGGCGUAAAGAGCGCGCAGGCGGUCGUUCAAGUCACGUGUGAAAGCCCCCGGCUCAACUGGGGAGGGUCACGCGAUACUGAUCGACUGGAAGGCAGGAGAGGGUAGUGGAAUUCCCGGUGUAGUGGUGAAAUGCGUAGAUAUCGGGAGGAACAUCAGUGGCGAAGGCGACUACCUGGCCUGUUCUUGACGCUGAGGCGCGAAAGCUAGGGGAGCAAACAGG
rnacentral:rRNA from 1 species